AUUGAACGCUGCGGCAGGCUUAACACAUGCAAGUCGAGCGAGCGGCGGACGGGUGAGUAAUGCUUAGGAAUCUGACUAUUAGUGGGGGACAACAUCUCGAAAGGGAUGCUAAUACCGCAUACUAAUAGAUGGGCCUAAGUCGGAUUAGCUAGUUGGUGGGGUAAAGGCCUACCAAGGCGAAGAUCUGUAGCGGGUCGGAGAGGAUUGUCCGCGUCACUGGUGCUUGGACACGGCCCAGACUGCGACGGAAGGCAUCAGUGGGGAAUAUUGGACAAUGGGGGGAACCCUGAUCCAGCCAUGCCGCGUGUGUGAAGAAGGCCUUAUGGUUGUAAAGCACUUUAAGCGAGGAGGCGUUACUCGCAGAAUAAGCACCGGCUAACUCUGUGCCAGCCGCCGCAGUAAUAC
rnacentral:rRNA from 1 species